AUGACAAACACAAUCAAAUGAUCAUGUGACCACUUAAUAAAUCCCUCAUUUCCUCACAAAAUCAAACUACAAUAAUUUCAUGCAAUUUUUAUAUUCACCUUCCAAUUUUACAACAGUAUAAUAAACCCAAUGAUUUAAGGUGUUCAAUAAACAGUUAUCUAGAAAGGAAAUAAAAUAGUCAGUACUUUUAUCAAACAAUAGAGACAAACUUUGCUCAAUCAAUAGUACCUGCAUUGACAGGUAAAUUUUUACUUUGCCCCAGAGUGCUCAGAUUUUUAUCAAACUUGUGACUUAUUGUGUAUUGGAAAUACUGUCACUAUCCAGUAAUCAAUCCUCUGAUUAGAGUCAGAUUCUUUUACACAAUGUGUGACAAUACUAUCCAUCUUUAAUGACAUUUUUUCACAGUCACAUAGAACUACUAACACUUUUAAUGGUAAAGUAGAAAAUAAAUGACUCAAUUUAGACAUUUGUUGGAGCUUCAGAUGUAAUUAAGUCAUUAGCUAUGGAAUUAUUCUUCAGGAACACAACUGUAUAAACACUUAAAAUAAACCAAUUAAUGGCAAUUGUGACUUCAGAUUGUUAAAAAGGAUGCUGCCUUUUCACACAAUGCCAUCAACAAAUUUUCAAAAGUUCAUAUUCAAAUCUCAACACAAAACCUUUGUACACACAACACAGUUGGAAUAUGAAAGAUGCCUAUUUAGUACCUGGACUUAAUGAGUUUUGAUGACAAUAUCAAAUGACCAUUUUAUAUCACUGAUCACUUUGAUAUCACUUAUUGUCAAUAUGAUGAGACGUAUAAAGACUUGUGUCAACCAAGAACAAAGAGACAGAUCAAUAGGAAUUAAUAACUGAAAGAAACAUUUAGCCACAUAUAAUUUCAAUUUACUAUAUAUAAAUUUUAUGACAGACUAUUAUUUUUUUAAAAUGUCUAUAAAAAUCAUGCAAGAUUAA